UACGAAGGGGCUAGCGUUGCUCGGAAUCACUGGGCGUAAAGCGCACGUAGGCGGAUUGUUAAGUCAGGGGUGAAAUCCUGGAGCUCAACUCCAGAACUGCCUUUGAUACUGGCGAUCUUGAGUCCGGGAGAGGUGAGUGGAACUGCGAGUGUAGAGGUGAAAUUCGUAGAUAUUCGCAAGAACACCAGUGGCGAAGGCGGCUCACUGGCCCGGUACUGACGCUGAGGUGCGAAAGCGUGGGGAGCGAACAGG
rnacentral:rRNA from 1 species